UACAGAGGUGGCAAACGUUGUCCGGAUUUAUUGGGUGUAAAGGGCAUGUAGGUGGUUCUAUAAGUCAAAGGUGAAAUGGCCCGGCUCAACCAGGUCAUUGCCUUUGAAACUGCAGAACUUGAGUACGGAAGAGGAAAGCGGAAUUCCCAGUGUAGCGGUGAAAUGCGUAGAUAUUGGGAGGAACACCGGUGGCGAAGGCGGGUCUCUGGGCCGAUACUGACGCUGAGGCGCGAAAGCCAGGGGAGCAAACGGG
rnacentral:rRNA from 1 species